rnacentral:siRNA from 1 species
UAAGUCAUCUGCCAACGGCCAU